rnacentral:rRNA from 1 species
UGGGGAAUAUUGCACAAUGGGCGCAAGCCUGAUGCAGCCAUGCCGCGUGUGUGAAGAAGGCCUUCGGGUUGUAAAGCACUUUCAGCGGGGAGGAAGGCGUUAAGGUUAAUAACCUUGGCGAUUGACGUUACCCGCAGAAGAAGCACCGGCUAACUCCGUGCCAGCAGCCGCGGUAAUACGGAGGGUGCAAGCGUUAAUCGGAAUUACUGGGCGUAAAGCGCACGCAGGCGGUCUGUCAAGUCGGAUGUGAAAUCCCCGGGCUCAACCUCGGAACUGCAUUCGAAACUGGCAGGCUAGAGGCUUGUAGAGGGGGGUAGAAUUCCAGGUGUAGCGGUGAAAUGCGUAGAGAUCUGGAGGAAUACCGGUGGCGAAGGCGGCCCCCUGGACAAAGACUGCCGCUCAGGUGCGAAAGCGUGGGGAGCAAACAGG